CCGAGAACGGCGCGGGGCACAGGCCCGCCGAAGCGGACUGCCAGCUACCUCUCCACUAACGAAGCGGUCACAGGCUCCGGACGCAAUACCCGCCCGUCAAAGACUCAGCCAACCACCGAGGCCUGUCUUAUGAUUUUCCCGCCCCUUCCCCCUCGACUGGUAGGGGAGGGGGAGCCGCUCUCCUUCUCCACGCCCCUAUUGGCGGGGAGCUUCCCUAACUCAACCCCGCCUAUUGGAGACGGACUGCUGAAGCCCACCCCCGAGCCCCAACACUAUUGGAGGAAGCAGGGAAGCUCUUCCUGUCUCAUUGGAGGACACCACAUAACCCGCCCUGCAGCGUCUCAGCCACAGGCCUAACAAGUUGGCUCCCGCCUCCGCUGGUCAUCGCAUUGGAAGGCUACCCCUGGCUCUCCCACCGCCCCAGUAAGAGACUGAAGCUCGGAGUUCCAGGGCCCGAGAUAGGAGGGGGAGCGGAGCUCAUCAGCGGAGACUCCACAUCCUAGGAUUUGAAGGAAAGGCAGCCCACCAUGGAGGACUCCCUCACAAAAAAAAUGAGAGAAUGAGAACUCAUCCUUCCGUCCAGUUAUCUUUACAGUUUACAUUCUACACACUGCGUCCUUGUAAACACAAAUAUCCGGAGCAGCUGGCAACUCCUUUCAGCCAAGUAGAGUACAGAACUAAGGUCUGGAGACCUAGGCGGAGAAGUAAACUCCCUAGAGCUGAAUAUGCAGUCCUAAGAGGGCGGAGAUAACCAAAAGAGAGGCGGGCUCUAACAGCCACCGCCCUGGCAAGCCUCCGGAAGGCGGAGCGUGAGGCACAAGGUACUCACGAUCUCCCGGGUGGAUCUGGAGGCAUCCUCAGAACUGAGAAAGGAGAGGAAAACACCAAAACAGGCCACGGCAUAAAUUAACAUUGGGGACAUGCCACACUCAGAGAAUGGAUAAAAUUUCCGUAGUUGGGGACAUAAGAUAACGGCUGUUCACCUUCUCCUUGGCCGGGAGUGUUAAUAGCAGUUCCUGUGCCCUCUCUGUGUAGGUAACAGUGCCUCGAACACACAGUGAGACAAAGUGCUUUCAAUUCCUAGUUUGCUUUUAUUUAUUCACCAAAUAGGGCGUGGGCCUGACGCUGAUCUUACUUUGGGGGGCGCUCUCUCAGCGCCAGGAGAGGUGACGGGAUUACGUUGUUACCGCUCUCCCGAAUAAGUAGAACCCUCCUCCCAGAGAGCUAAGACCCCAAGGGACACGCCCAGGGAACCCACGCCUAGGUCCAACACUGUCCUCCCUCUGCAAUCCAGCGGAAACGGCCAGGAACGAGCUCUGGCAGCAGGUGGGCCUGACUCCAGCGAUGGCUUCGAGCCGCGAAACCACAGCAGCGAAUUGUGAACUCCAAGGGUAGCCGACAGGUGGGAGCAGCCUCGCCAGUAGCCAAGCCCUGCCCCAGGACAGAGCUCUAAAAAUAAGUCAGACCAACGAAGCGACCCCAGGGCCAAACUGCUCGGAGGUUAGGAGGAAGCGGCACUCCAGCAGAACUGACCCACGGCUACUUUUAACUUUGCGCCGCCUUCCACCACUAGACUGAGUACCACAGGGCAUUCCCACCAUGGUAUCAAGAACUACUCAGAACCCAAGCCAGCAUUAGGCCGCCCACGACUUCCCGUGAACACAGGGUACCACCUGCGCUAAGAUCUCGCCUAAGGGCCCCAGGCCAGGGCACUAGGUUGUCAGAGUCUCAGAUACAGCCAACUAAGGACAGCCGCUGCCAUGCCUAGGAAAGAACAGACACUUGCAGCGUCUGCAGAGUUCUCGAGCUUAAGCUCAGGGAAGUCAAGGGGCACGGAAAUAGCCAAGCGACAGGGUUAGAACUUUAGUACUUGGCCCCGGCCCCGAAAGGCAGAUCUCAAACCCAGCAGAACCUCCGGAGUUUCGCUCCCGAAAUCCACUCCGCACUGUAAUCCCCUGGCUUCACCCCGAAGGCUACUAGGUCUCGAGCCUCGGUGGAACCUUUGUGUGGCUUCUCGGCUCUCCCCGCCCCCCUCGCCAAGGGCGCCGAGCCUAGGACUUCCGGGCGGGAGGGCAGUUCGAAGGAGCUAGGCGGGCCUCACACAUGUGCGGAGCGCGCUCAAGAGCGGAGGGAGGCGGGGAGCAAGGGUGGACUUCCCCUCCCAGCUCUCUCCGCCGGAGGAGGCCGGGCUACCCGCCCCACCAAUCAGAGGCGGGGGCGGGACCUUGCGCCUCACGUCAUCCGCAAGAACCGUCCCUCCUCCCUCCGCGAAAAAAAAAUCCUAGCAACUUAAACUCCAGCCCGGCCUCCCGAUAGGCGGAGCUCGGGAGAAUGUCAUCCAAUCCACAUCCAAGAAGGAGAAAAAAAGGGAGUCUCGCCUAGCCAGUGGAAGACAAGAGAAGGCGGGGCCUCCGGGAGAGCCGGAGGUGGGUGGGAGAGAGGAAAGGGGUCCGCCCCUCAGCUCCCCUGCAGGCGGGUUGCACAAGCCGCCGGCGGAGUAGAUAGUAAACAGUCUGGGCCGAGGAGUGCAGGCAAGGGCCGCCCGGCGCUCGGUGGACUGGGCCCCUGCGCCGC
rnacentral:lncRNA from 1 species